rnacentral:rRNA from 1 species
UACGGAGGGUGCGAGCGUUAAUCGGAAUUACUGGGCGUAAAGCGCACGUAGGUGGUUGAGUAAGUCAUAUGUGAAAAGCCCUGGGCUUAACCUAGGAAUUGCAUAUGAUACUGCUUGGCUAGAGUAUGUUAGAGGGAAGCGGAAUUCCGGGUGUAGCGGUGAAAUGCGUAGAUAUCCGGAGGAACAUCAGUGGCGAAGGCGGCUUCCUGGGACAAUACUGACACUGAGGUGCGAAAGCGUGGGGAUCAAACAGGG